rnacentral:rRNA from 1 species
GAUGAACGCUAGCUACAGGCUUAACACAUGCAAGUCGAGGGGCAGCAUGGUCUUAGCUUGCUAAGGCCGAUGGCGACCGGCGCACGGGUGAGUAACACGUAUCCAACCUGCCGUCUACUCUUGGACAGCCUUCUGAAAGGAAGAUUAAUACAAGAUGGCAUCAUGAGUUCGCAUGUUCACAUGAUUAAAGGUAUUCCGGUAGACGAUGGGGAUGCGUUCCAUUAGAUAGUAGGCGGGUAACGGCCCACCUAGUCUUCGAUGGAUAGGGGUUCUGAGAGGAAGGUCCCCCACAUUGGAACUGAGACACGGUCCAAACUCCUACGGGAGGCAGCAGUGAGGAAUAUUGGUCAAUGGACGAGAGUCUGAACCAGCCAAGUAGCGUGCAGGAUGACGGCCCUAAUGGGUUGUAAAACUGCUUUUAUAAGGGAAUAAAGUGAGGCAACGUGUGCCUUUUUGUAUGUACCG